GCAACCCUACGGGACGCAGCAGUAGGGAAUCUUCCACAAUGGGCGAAAGCCUGAUGGAACAACGCCGCGUGGGUGAAGAAGGUCUUCGGAUCGUAAACCCCUGUUGUUAGAGAAGAAAGUGCGUGAGAGUAACUGUUCACGUUUCGACGGUAUCUAACCAGAAAGCCACGGCUACCUACGUGCCAGCAGCCGCGGUAAUACGUAGGUGGCAAGCGUUAUCCGGAUUUAUUGGGCGUAAAGGGAACGCAGGCGGUCUUUUAAGUCUGAUGUGAAAGCCUUCGGCUUAACCGGAGUAGUGCAUUGGU
rnacentral:rRNA from 1 species